ACGAAGCUCAGGCGUCUCCAUGGGACCCACGGAAGUACAGGUCCCUACAGGAAAAGAGGACUACACAACUUGUAUUCAAAGCAUUAGUUAACAUGAUAUGAAGACAUUAAGAGAUCUAGGGAUUCAAAGUUUUCUCAAAAUUGGGCUUAAAUUGGAAGUAUAGAUUGGGCUUAAACUGGGCUGGUCAAAGUUCUGAGCUUUGCUCUCAACAUGCCACGUGGGCUUUAAUCAAUCAAUUGCAAAAAUUUAUCGAUUAGGUUUAUGUUUUAAUUAUAUUAAAACUUAUACUAACAAUAAAAAAACAUGAUUUGGCUCAAAGUUUAGUAGUUAACAACAUGAUUUGGCUCUAUUUCCAAAAUAUUUCAAAGAAAAUUAGAAGACAAAGAAACCUGGAGCUCUAUUAGUUGGACAGAGGUCUAACAUGGAGUAAACAUAUAACUGGUCCUGUAUAAUUCACUUUUCUGAUAUGAUAAUUAAUUGAAUUAUCACAUACUAUAUAAUUUUAUUUAAAUAUGCAAUAAUGAUAGAUUUAUGCUAUAUUAUUCAAAUAUUUACGCAUCUAUAUAAAUAUUGAUAAUUGUGAGAUCAACUAUAUAAAUAUUUACACAUACUAUAUAAUUUUCAUUAAAUGUUUCACUUGCAGAUAUAUGUUUACUACAAUCAGAUUGAAUACUAUGGUAUCCCACAAUUGAAUACCAUAAGCUUGUAGUAGUUGAAUUAAUUUGGAUUAAUUCUAUUUCCUGCUCCAUGUAAAAUAUUUCAAAGAAAAUUAGAAGAGAAAGAAACCUGGACCUCUAUUAGUUGGACAGAGGUCUAACAUGGAGUAAACAUAUAACUUACGAAACAGUAUAGAGUCUUUGAAAGUUACCUGAUAGCUUAUGUUGCUGCUGCUAUAAUGGUUGUUGUACGUUACGUUUAAUAACUUCGGCAAUCAUUUGAAAACAGUAUUCACUACAUUCAUGAUAUGGAUUCGAUGCAUUGAUACAGUCAGGAUGAACUCUUCUCUCUUCAUCCAUUGUCAUUGUUACUUGUUCAGCUUCUUUAUUGUAAUUAUUUUCCUAAUAAAUCAAAUCAAUUGUAAGAUUAAAACACUUGUUUGAAUCAAAAUUUUAGCUAAAUUCAAACUUAUUGAAAUCAUCAUUAUUAGAGAAAAUAAAAAAACACAGAAGUUAUCAUAAACUUCUACGCUUAUAUGGCAAUAAGAAGAUUAUUCAUAGAAAUCUAUAUACUUUAACAUCAAUUGGUUCUAGGCUAUCAAGAAAAUCCCAUACAUUAAAAUUUUCUCUAUGCAUCAAUUAGACACCUUAAACAUCAAUUGGUUCUGGGCAGACAAAACACAGAGAAUGAGAGAGGGGAGAGAGGCCACUGAACCGAAUAACUGUCCACUGGGUUCAAAGGGAUACAACUCUGAACGAAAACAAUUAAUAAACAAAAUACAACACCCUUGACACUAAAAGCCUUGUUAGAAUGCAGAUAUUUGAUGGUUAGUUAUACCUUGCAAAGAAAAUGCAUGAGCGUCAUUUUAUUGUUAGAAGCACGUGUAUCAGACAGUUUUAGAAGGGUAUCCAGUUGGAAUCCAAUAGCAGAACCUGCACAUAUGAAAAGCUAUUGAGUACCUUGUCAAAGAAGGAAUUGAAAUGACUUCUUCAUAACAUCCAGCAAUUUCUAGAUAAAUGUCACCAAUGACAACAGGAUUUUAACCAAAUUCACCAUCCUUACAAUUUAAGAGAUAUAUAACAUCAGGAAAAAAAAGAGAGAUGUUAGCAAAUAUUAGCAUAUCCUGGGAUCACUCCUUAACUUGCAUUUCGAGACAUCUGAAACAAAAGAUAUACCAGAACCCAUAGUUGUGCACUUUUGCCUCAAUUUGACAUUUAUUUUUGGGUUGGUUAACACCUUAAACAUCAAUUGGUUGUGGGCAGACAAAGCACCGUGGUGCGCUGAACAAUGGUUUCCAAUUGAGUAUCACAAUUGAUAUUCUGGCUGCUAACUUGAUAAACUAUACCGAUAAGAUAGAUGGUGGUUGGGGAUGGAGAGUGAGUUUAGGUAGUGUUGCAGUUCCUGCUGUAUGUAUAUUCCUUGGAGGUCUGUUUUUGCCUGACACACCAAAUUCUAUCAUUGAGCGAGAAAAUCCCAAAGAUGCCAAAGUAGUGCAUUGAGUAAUUUCUUACUCAAUGAGUUUUGCUCACUUCUAUUUUUAAUCCAAACAAAAAUCUAAGUUGAAGAUGUAUGAAUCUAAUUGAGUUGGAUUAUCAUAACAUCACUAAAACUCAGCACAAUGGAAGAAUUAAAAUACAAAAUUUAUUGAUUAUCAAAAAAUAUUAAAUAUUAAAUAAAAAUUACCUGAUGUAGGUGUUUGCCGGAUCUAAAUCGAUUUAGAUAGAUGAACAACCUGCCUUCCUGCCUUCUUCCAAUUUUUUGUUGGAGGUGAUAAGUUAUGCGGAUUUUUAUAGUGAUUAAGAACGAAGGUGAAUAGAAAUCCAUGACUUAAAGGUGAAUAGAAAUCCAUGACUUAAUAGAACUCAAUUAGGUUUUGGUUUUGAUGGAUGAUUUACAUGAAUCGAUUAGGUUCAGGAAAUUGAUUUCGAUACUGUUUACAUAAAUCUCAGUUUACGUUUA
rnacentral:lncRNA from 1 species